GGACAGGGACAGGGGACAGGGGAGGGGGUGGCCAUUCCUGCUGGGGCUAUUCCUGGGGCCGUUCCCCCAUUCCCAGUUCCCAUUCCCAUUUCCCAUCCCCGUUCUCAUUCCCAGUUCCCAUCCCAGUUUCCAUUCCCCCAUUCCCAUUCCCAGUUCCCAUUCCCAGUUCCAGUUCCCAUUCCCAGUUCCCAUUCCCAGUUCCUAUUCCCAUUCCCAUUCCCAUCCCCAUUCCCAUUCCCAGUUCCCAUUCCCGUUCCCGUUCCCAGGGUUAUUACCGCCGCACCGCCGCGUACCUGCCGAUCCGGCGCCGGGAGCGCCGCGGUUGUUUCGCGGUGCCCAUGGUUCACUCGGCGUUCCUGCUGGAGCUGCGCCGGGAGCGCUCCGGGGCCUUGGCCUUCCACCCGCCCCCGCCGGGAUACCACGGGGCCCUGGACGACAUCCUGGUGUUCGCCGCCGCCUGCCGGCACGCGGGUACGGGAUCCUUGGGAUCACUGGGAUCCUUGGGAUCGUUGGGAUCACUGGGAUGGGAUCGUUGGGAUCACUGGGAUUGGGAUCACUGGGAUCAUUGGGAUCAUUGGGAUCCUUGGGAUGGGAUCGUUGGGAUCACUGGGAUUGGGAUCAUUGGGAUCACUGGGAUCAUUGGGAUUGACGUCCUGGUGUUCGCUGCCGCCUGCCGGCACGCGGGUACGGGAUCCUUGGGAUCACUGGGAUGGGAUCACUGGGAUCAUUGGGAUCAUUGGGAUCCUUGGGAUGGGAUCCUUGGGAUCACUGGGAUUGGGAUCACUGGGAUCACUGGGAUCACUGGGAUUGACGUCCUGGUGUUCGCCGCCGCCUGCCGGCACGCAGGUACGGGAUCCUUGGGAUCACUGGGAUGGGAUCGUUGGGAUUGGGAUCAUUGGGAUCAUUGGGAUCACUGGGAUCAUUGGGAUAGGGAUGGGAUCAUUGGGAUUGGGAUCAUUGGGAUCAUUGGGAUCACUGGGAUUCGGAUCAGUGGGAUUGGGAUCAUUGGGAUCAUUGGGAUCACUGGGAUUGGGAUCCUUUGGAUCGUUGGGAUGGGAUUGUUGGGAUCGUUGGGAUCAUUGGGAUUGGGAUCAUUGGGAUCCUUGGGACUGGGAUGGCUUUGGGAUGGGUUUGGGAUGGUUGGAAUGGGUUUGGGAUUGGUUGGAAUGUUUGGGAUGGGUUUGGGAUGGGUUUGGGAUUGGUUGGGAUGGGUUUGGGAUGGGUUUGGGAUGGGUUUGGGAUGGGUUUGGGAUUGUUUGGGAUGGGUUUGGGAUGGGUUUGGGAUUGUUUGGGAUGGGUUUGGGAUUGGUUUGGGAUUGUUUGGGAUGGUUGGGAUUGGUUGGGAUGGGUUUGGGAUUGUUUGGGAUGGGUUUGG
rnacentral:lncRNA from 1 species